rnacentral:lncRNA from 1 species
CUUCAAUUCAAUCCCAGAUUAAACAAGGGAAUCCCAGCUUAUUGCUGUCACGCUGGAGAGACUGACCAAGCUAGAGCAUCCUUGACCUUUCUUCUUUCUCUCAGAUGUCCAGUGAACUUGUGUCCAAUGUACCCUGCAGCCCUCCACAGAGAGCUUCAUUCCAUGAUGGCUCUGAAACAGUUGCUGUGGAGGGCGCAGGAGACCAUGUGUGUGAACACCUGAUGGGACAAAGCUAUUCAGCAAGGGCGGUGUGAUUGAUUCCCGAACCGCAAGAGAACCCACAGCAGCCCUGGCCGCCGGCCUCCGACAGUGGCGGUGUCAGCAGCUUGAGCAGAGACUAUUUAAACUGAUGGAGGUGAAGCUCUGCAUUUUUUCCUGGGGAUGGAGGGGAACUGGGAAAAGGCUGUUCUCCUGUUAUCAUUUCC